CCCCACUCCCUGCUCAUCCUCGCGGUUUGGGUUCCAAGGUCGCCGUUGCCCGAGAUCCCGCCCCGGCAGCUUCUCCGCCCACCCGAUGCCGUCCCUUCGUCCUGCUCCUCCGCUCCGCCCGCUCGCCUCCAAGCCCGUGGCCGCUGCUCCACCCCGUCCGCUGCUCCGCACCGCCCACUCGCCUCCAGGCCCGGAGCAACUCCUCCGCUCGCCCGACGCCCCGCUCCUUCACUCUGCACACUCUCCUCCAGGUCCGAAGCCGCUGCUCCGCACCGCCCGCUCACCUCCAGCCCCGGAGCAGCUGCUCCGACCGACGUCGUCGCUCUUCGCCCGAUGCCCAACGCGGACUCCGCCUACGCCCCACGCCGGAGUUCGCUCAGAUGGACACUUCAGAUGAAUUGGACACUUCAUAUGAAUCAGAUGAGGAAUGAGAUUUGGCCAUGUAUGCAUGUGCUAUGGAAAUGGAGUCGUCAAGUCAGAGAUUGCCAUAUGCACCAAGAAAGUUACACCUUGUCACAGACCUCCAAUGGGUGGAACAGAAGGAACAAGAUGCAAAAGCUUUCUACUCUAUGUCCAGAAUGAGGAGGUCAGUGUUUUACUCAUUGCAUGAAUUGUUGGUUCAGAAGCACGGGCUUAAGUCAACCUGCAACAUAUCAUCGAAAGAAGCGUUGACACAAUUUUUUAUGGACUUUGGGGACAUGCCAAACAACUCAUAAUGUAGCAGAUCGGUUUGGACAUAGUCGUUCCGUCAUUAACAAAAAAAUCAUGAGAUUUUGGAGUGUGUAGACCACAUGCCUGGUGAUUUCAUUAGGCCUAUUGAUCCAUCAUUCUCCGAACCACACCCCAUACUAAUAAAAAAAAGGUUCUGACCUCAUUUCAAAAAUGUUAUUGGAGCCAUAGAUGAAACACACAUUGAAGUGAUUGUUCCUAAGGAGUUGGAGCCACAACACACGAAUUGGAAAGGGGUUACAAGUGAAAAUUUCACGACAGUCUGUGAUUUUGAUAUGAGGUUCACUUUUGUUGUUCUUGGAUGGCCCGGAUCUGUUCAUGACACACGUGUAUGGAGCGAUGCUAUAGUUCGUUAUGAUCAUUUUCCACAACUCCUAUAGAUAAAUAUUACCUUGUGGACUCAUUAUAUCCAAAUAGAGUUGGAUAUCUAGCACCCACCAUGUACCGGAGUUCCAACAACACCCACCCAUUGGUAGGCACGAGACGUUCAACCAUCGUCAUUCUUCUUUGCGAAAUGUCAUCGAAAGAUCAUUCGGUGUUCUCAAGAUGAAAUGGCAAAUUCUCGGAGGCAUAACACGGUACAAACCAAAGGCCCAAAAGAUGAUUGUCAUUGCAUGCAUGUGUCUUCACAACUUCAUUCGUGAUAGCAAGUUGCAUGAUGAGCAUUUUGACAAGUUUGAUAAUGAUGCGUAUGUGCAACCCCAUUGCCAUUUACAAACGCCAACGGUCUACCAUGACCGCAACACGUGAGUCUAUUGCUACCAGUCUUGUACAAUAAGAUUAGUCAAUCUAUUUGUACUGCACUUCUUUUGUAGCAAAGAAAACGCGAAAACCUUUUUUAUUGUAAUAUUUAUCUAUCUAAGGUAUUCAAAAAUCGUAUUCAUGCUCAUAUUUAACGAUAAAUUGUUCGAAA